rnacentral:lncRNA from 1 species
AACCAAAUAAAAUCAAUUCAUAUAAAUCGAGUAAUCAACAUGGCUUAUGAAUUUCUUAAAACUUUGGCUCGUGCCAAAAUCAUUCUCAUACCCAGUUAUCAGGGAUACCUUGAUCGAGGGCUAUCCUAACAGAGUCUGCCAAGGCUGUUAAAAAGUUAUGUACACAUAAAUCAUGUUUUUAUUUUGAAAACAUAGCCGUUCCUUGGCAUUGGUUGAGUUCACCCUCACGU